AAUAGCGCCACAAUCGAGGAGAAAGGAGGGUAAGAAGCCUCCUUUAUUUCCAUAAGUCACUCAAGGCUAUCGGGAAUGCGAAAGGCACUUGGCCCGACUCGCAUUUGACUUCUCGACUUCGCUAGCAGUACUAAUGGACCCUUGGGGCCCAACAGCACAAUAGAGCUAUUGAAAGUCCUUUUCCAUGAAAUUAGGUCAUAGAACGCCCAUUAACAUGUAAGCCCGUCCCCUUCGGGCCCAAAGAUCAUGUUAUUGGGCUAGCAAGGCCCAACAAGCACGAUUUGAAACUUUCAACCCCGAAGAUUGAAUAUUGACUCCUCGUAGUUGUUGCAUGUUUAUUGAAGUACUACGGUUAUUUGAUUUUUGUUUUGUUAUUGAUUCAAGACCGAAUCAAUUCGUUUGGUAAUGAUAUUGGUUGUUGAAAGUGUAUUUGUUAUUAAAUUUCGCCGGUAGUCGUGGAUCUCGAAUUUUGUCUUAAGGGAUUUAUUUGAUAUGCUAGUUCACUAUAAACAGAGCUCUGAUACCAACCUGUCACACCCCCGAACCAGACGGCGGAAACGUCCAAGGGCUCUUGUGACUUAAAUUGAAUACCAUCACAAUGAUUAUACACGAAUCAUAACAUCAUUCAUCACCAUGCAUUGAAAUAUUACAACCGAUAUUGUUUACAUUCAGUACAUUGUUUUAACGUUACAAUUUCAUAACAUAAACCGUUUGAUCAUUAAUCUAAGCAAAACACCAUGAUAUAACUUGAUACAUAUUCUUCUGUUUACCAGUUACCUGAGAAUACAAGUUAUUUUGAAAACAGUCAACAUAUGAAAUGUUGGUGAGUUCAUAAGUAAUGUUAUGGAAAAUAAAUUUUGUGAAGUUUGAACACCGAGAAAAUCCGAUAUUUUCUGAAAAGAGUAUUGUUUCUUAAAAGUGUGAAGAUCCGUAAGUAUCCUUGUCGAUUUUGAAAACAUGUAUAAUUGUUGGGCUUUGUAUACAUCACGUAGGUAAAAGUGUUGAACUCCCCGGGAAAACCUGAUGUUUUCCCAAUGUGUAAAUUAUAUGACUUGUUUGAUAUUAUACCGAUACGACGAUUGUUUUUUGAUUUCCCAGGUGACAUUGGAUUAAUUAAGGGUUGUGAGUUGUUACAAUAACGCAUUAUUGAAAAUGACUAGUUUGUAACUACAAAUUAUGAACGAUCCUUGAGGCGUCGUCCAUACUACUCACAUAAUCCAACCACCCUGACUUCUCUUGUUUAACGUCACGAAUCUGCUUACUCGGUUUCUAAUAGCGCCACAAUCGAGGAGAAAGGAGGGUAAGAAGCCUCCUUUAUUUCCAUAAGUCACUCAAGGCUAUCGGGAAUGCGAAAGGCACUUGGCCCGACUCGCAUUUGACUUCUCGACUUCGCUAGCAGUACUAAUGGACCCUUGGGGCCCAACAGCACAAUAGAGCUAUUGAAAGUCCUUUUACAUGAAAUUAGGUCAUAGAACGCCCAUUAACAUGUAAGCGCGUCCCCUUCGGGCCCAAAGAUCAUGUUAUUGGGCUAGCAAGGCCCAACAAGCACGAUUUGAAACUUUCAAUCCCAAAGAUUGAAUAUUGACUCCUCGUAGUUGUCGCGUGUUUAUUGAAGUACUACGGUUAUUUGAUUUUUGUUUUGUUAUUGAUUCAAGACCGAAUCAAUUCGUUUGGUAACGAUAUUGGUUGUUGAAAGUGUAUUUGUUAUUACAUUUCGCCGGUAGUCGUGGAUCUCGUAUUUUGUCUUAAGGGAUUUAUUUGAUAUGCUAGUUCACUAUAAACAGAGCUCUGAUACCAACCUGUCACACCCCCGAACCAGACGGCGGAAACGUCCAAGGGCUCUUGUGACUUAAAUUGAAUACCAUCACAAUGAUUAUACACGAAUCAUAACAUCAUUCAUCACCAUGCAUUGAAAUAUUACAACCGAUAUUGUUUACAUUCAGUACAUUGUUUUAACGUUACAAUUUCAUAACAUAAACCGUUUGAUCAUUAAUCUAAGCAAAACACCAUGAUAUAACUUGAUACAUAUUCUUCUGUUUACCUGUUACCUGAGAAUACAAGUUAUUUUGAAAACGGUCAACAUAUAAAAUGUUGGUGAGUUCAUAAGUAAUGUUAUGGAAAAUGAUUUUUGUGAAGUUUGAACACCCAGAAAAUCCGAUAUUUUCUGAAAAGAGUAUUGUUUAUAAAAAGUGUGAAUAUCUGUAAGUAUGCUUGUCAAUUUUGAAAACAUGUAUAAUUGUUGAACUUUGUAUACAUCACGUACGUAAAAGUGUUGAACUCCCCGGGAAAACCCGAUGUUAUCCCAAUGUGUAAAUUAUAUGACUUGUUUAUUAUUAUACCGAUACGACGAUUGUUUUUUGAUUUCCCAGGUGACAUUGGAUUAAUUAAGGGUUGUGAGUUGUUACAAUAACGCAUUAUUGAAAAUGACUAGUUUGUAACUACAAAUUAUGAACGAUCCUUGAGGCGUCGUCCAUACUACUCACAUAAUCCAACCACCCUGACUUCUCUUGUUUAACGUCACGAAUCUGCUUACUCGGUUUCUAAUAGCGCCACAAUCGAGGAGAAAGGAGGGUAAGAAGCCUCCUUUAUUUCCAUAAGUCACUCAAGGCUAUCGGGAAUGCGAAAGGCACUUGGCCCGACUCGCAUUUGACUUCUCGACUUCGCUAGCAGUACUAAUGGACCCUUGGGGCCCAACA
rnacentral:lncRNA from 1 species